rnacentral:rRNA from 1 species
AGUUCUCCCUUGAGAGCCGUGGAAGACCACCACGUUGAUAGGCUGGAUGUGUACGCGCAGCAAUGUGUGUAGCUAACCAGUACUAAUCGCUCGAUCGGCUUGAUUGCUUUCAUUAU